GCUUAGUGAUCCGGUGGUUCCGCAUGGAAGGGCCAUCGCUCAACGGAUAAAAGCUACCCUGGGGAUAACAGGCUUAUCUCCCCCAAGAGUCCACAUCGACGGGGAGGUUUGGCACCUCGAUGUCGGCUCAUCGCAUCCUGGAGCUGAAGUAGGUUCCAAGGGUUGGGCUGUUCGCCCAUUAAAGCGGUACGCGAGCUGGGUUCAGAACGUCGUGAGACAGUUCGGUCCCUAUCUGUCGUGGGCGCAGGAAAUUUGAGAGGAGCUGUCCUUAGUACGAGAGGACCGGGAUGGACGCACCGCUGGUGCACCAGUUGUUCCGCCAGGAGCACAGCUGGGUAGCUAUGUGCGGCCGGGAUAAGCGCUGAAAGCAUCUAAGCGUGAAGCCCCCCUCAAGAUGAGAUUUCCCACAGCAUAAGCUGGUAAGACCCCUUAAAGAUGAUGAGGUAGAUAGGUUCGGGGUGGAAGCGUGGCAACACGCGGAGCUGACGAAUACUAAUCGGUCGAGGGCUUAACCAAA
rnacentral:rRNA from 1 species